GAUGAACGCUGGCGGCGUGCCUAAUACAUGUAAGUCGAGCGAACAGACGAGGAGCUUGCUCCUCUGACGUUAGCGGCGGACGGGUGAGUAACACGUGGAUAACCUACCUAUAAGACUGGGAUAACUUCGGGAAACCGGAGCUAAUACCGGAUAAUAUAUUGAACCGCAUGGUUCAAUAGUGAAAGACGGUCUUGCUGUCACUUAUAGAUGGAUCCGCGCUGCAUUAGCUAGUUGGUAAGGUAACGGCUUACCAAGGCAACGAUGCGUAGCCGACCUGAGAGGUUAAUCGCCAACACGGAAACUGAGACACGGCCCAAACCCCUAGGGGAGGCAGCAUAAGGAAAUCUUCCGCAUGGGGCGAAAGCUGAACGGAGAAACGCGGCGGGAGUGAGGAGGGCCUUCGGAUCGUAAACCCCUGUAAUUGGGAAAGAACAAAGUUGUAGGUAACGAGGAACGUCUUAACGGUACCAAAGCAGAAAGCCACGGCUAACUACGU
rnacentral:rRNA from 1 species